GCUAUGGAAGCCUUUUGAGUUCUCCGACUCUGAUCAUAUUUAGACAAGGUCGUAGUCAAAGGAAUUUUUUGUUAUUGUUGACUGAAUUGCUAAGCCUAUUUGGUCAAAUGUAUGCCUUGGUAACUCCAAGCUAAAAAAAAAAAAUCUGUGUAUCCAUGUUCAUGAUAAAAUAAAGGAAUUGUAUGUUGGCUCUUAAACUCCUGUCAUGGUGGGCUUGAGACACCUGUGUUAGCAAAUGGAUACCAGGGGCUCAUGGCAAUUGCAUCUUGGCCUCGGAGAUGAGCAAAUAACCAUGGGAAUGAGAGCACAGAGGUGAUCGUCAGAGAGUGGUUUAUGACAGAGAACCAUCCUCUGGUUCAAUCCUCAGAUGGCCACAAUGUCUGGGGCUGGGCCAGGCCAAAGCUGGUAGCUUCCUCUGGAUCUCCCACAGGGGUCCUCUGCUGCCCUCUCAGGCAUACCAGCAGGGAGCUGGAUCGAAAGUGGAGCAUCCAGGACCCAAACCAGAACCCAUAUGAGAUGUUGGUGUUGCAGGUGGUAGUUUAACCCACUAAGCCACCAUGCCAGCUGAGUAGUUUAAAACAAAUGGUGGACCAAAACAAAGGAAUAUAUGGGAGGAAUUCUACAGAUGCUUAAAAAUCUAUGUCAGGGAGCCUGUGCUGUGGCACAGCAGGUAAAGCCACCACCUGUAGUACCAGCUUACCACAUGGGCCUAGGUUCAAGCCCCAGCUGCUCCACUUCCAAUCCAGCUCUCUGCUAUGGCCUGGGAAAGCAGUGGAAGAUGGCCCAAGUCCUUGGAUCCCUGUAUCCAUGUGGGAGACCUGGAAGAAGCUCCUGGCUCCUGGCUUUGAAUCUAUCCAGCUCUGGCCAUUGCGGCCAUUUGGGGAGUGAACAAGCAGAUGGACAACUCUCUCUCUCUCUCUCUCUCUCUCUCUCUCCCUCUCUCCUCUCUCCUCUCUGCCUCUCAAACAAAUAAAUGCAUCUUUAAAAAAAAUCUAUGCCAGGCUCCACUUUUCUCCUUUCUUCUUUUGUCAAACACAUCAGUCUUAUUUUUAGCCCAACUCUAUUCACCAGUGGUAGUACAGAGACAUCUUUUAAUCUAUUUUUUAAUUUCUUUGAGAGAGAUAGAUAGGUAUCUCCCAUAUACUGAUUCACUUUCUAAAUGCCUACAAUAUCUGGGGCUGGGCUAAGCCAAAGCCAGAAGCUAGAAAUCCAAUCUAUAUCUCCCACAUAGGUAGCAGGGACCCAAGUUUUUGAGCUAUCACCUGUUGCCUGCUUCUAGUCCUGUGGCCUGUCUACACACACGUUUGAGAAUCUUGGUAAAUGAAUUUGUUACCAUUCUUGAGCCCUCCUGAAGCCCCUGUUGGCUGUGUUAGGAGAUCCCGCAUGGCUGAGUCACUGGCCCUGUGAACAGGACUUGGCCAGCAUUCCCUCCUCCGGGGCCAGUUCUCCAGGGAGGUCCCUGAACGAGUCAGAGAUGGUAGACCUCUGUGUUGUAGAAAACAUGUUUCUAGCCUUCAGAUUGGAGGCUGUGCGGACAUUGAUGACCAACCCAUAAUCUCCCUUCCUCCCUCUCCUCUCAGGUCUUAGGCUGCAGGGAAUGACAAUAGGGGAAUUUUCGGACUUCUUAUUUGGGGCAGGAAACUGAACCCUGGCAUGAAUUUUCGUCUAUCAGUAAAUUUCCAUUUACUGAUGAGCUGAUCACAGACUAGCCGUGGGCAUGUUUUCAAACUUAAUGAAGAAAAGACAAUUCCUGCCGCAAGAGCUCUUCAUUUAACUGACAGCAUCAAUCAAGAGGUACUCUGAGCUCCUGGUUGCUCAAGCAAUGAAACCUUUCUUCCAAACACAAGAGAGGCAGGAGAGGCAGCCCAUGGGGGCAGGGAAGGAGAGAGAAAUCUCUAGUUCAUCUCAGCAGUUUCCUUUUUUGCCUCACUUUGGGCCUUGUUAAAGGCAUGAGGGAAACCAGAAGAGUAAAAAUUGGUGGCAAAUAAGUGUCAUGGAAAGAAGAGCUGGAAGGGAGUUUUCAUCUCCACUCCUAUCUCUAGGGAGAAUGAUGCAUGACAUUGGUCUUGAACUUGAAGGUGUUUGUUUUCACUGCUUAUGGUGGGGGCCAGCAUCAGGGAGAUUCUGCUUCUAGAAUUUCACCAUCUUGUCUAUUUAUAACACGAAAAUAGAAUUCAGAUCCAAAGCCUGUCUUGAAGCAGGUAUAUUUCGACUCUUUUGUUGUUGCUGUUGGGAAACCUCUCUCUCCUCCAAAGGAAAUCCACUCCUUCUAUAAGAGCCAAUCAAACAGACAAGCGUAUGAAAAAGAGAAAUGGGAUUUGAUCACUUGGAGAUGCACAGGAGGAUGAGGAAGUUGCCUGCAAACGUCAGCAGAGCGGCUGAGGUAUAGACUUGGAGUAACCUCUCCCACCGACCCCCGGUGACAAGACGGAUAGUUGCAUUCAUCUGCGGACAUCUCAGAACAAAGCACUGGGCAGCCGACACUGGGCAGCAGGAAACACAAGGUAUGGACAGACAAGGUAACAUUACAAUGGUCUUCAGGGCUGUUGUGUUUGAACAUUCAGACAAGAUCAGCUGGUAUGGAGCAUCUGUUUCUGCAAUGGCGAUGUUGUAGGCACCUGGCUUGCCUGCUUGGCAGGGUCCAUGAGCACCCCUGGUUUCCCCCUCCACCAUAGCUCCCUGACUUUCCCAAGAGGUAACUAGACUCAUAAUUACUGUAGCCAACUGAUUACCCUGAUGAAAGUGGGUUCUUGGGUUCUUUUUUAUUUUUUUCCCCAAAGCAAACAUCCCAGUUGAAAUUCGUUUGCUUUUUGGUUCUUCAAUUUCAUUUGGCUGAACCAAUGAAGAAGAGGAUGGUCACAGGAAAAAGAGAUAGAAAGUCCUCCCAGCAUGGCUAAGGGAAUGAUCAAA